GUAGAGUUUUUGAAACCAAAAGAGUGCUGAACUGAGAACUUAUUUUAUUUUACAACCAAAUCAAAAUGUUUCUAGCCAUAUAUGCUGUUCUCUUCUCUUUGGUUACAGAAGCUGUUCUGGGAGUAAAACUGGAGCAAAAAGAUCUCUCCAUGACAAAAGAGGAGGGCAAAAGUGUGUACAUCAGCUGCAAAGUGACUGGCUUAUCCACCACUUAUGUUCACUGGUACCAAAAGAAAGACGGCGAAGGUCUCAGAAGGAUCCUGUAUGUCAGCAGUGGAAGCAAACCUGUUCUUGAUAAUAACCACCCUGAAGCAAAGGACUUCGAUGUGAGGAUAGAUUCUGAUAAUUAUGCUCUGAAGAUAGCAAUACUGAAGAAAAGUCACACAGCAGUUUAUUACUGCGCCAGCUGGGAAAGCACCCACAGUGACACUAAAUAUGUAGAGUGUGUACAAAAACCCUGAUGGUAUCCAACCACAACAGAAACACUACAGGAGUCUUUUACCUAAAUUUAAUCAAACGCUGAAAUGUUUAUUUGAAAUUUCUUUAUAGC